UUUAAAGCGAUACUUCCAGCAGGUUAUUAUAUUAUAUGUUAAAAACGAAGUUCUGAAGAUAUUUACUAUUUCCUGUAUGUUCUCUUGAUCUCCAAAUGUCUCAACCGGGUCAGCAGAUAAAAAAUGAACAGAACCGAUUUCUUGUGUUUUCUGUUUAGUCCAAUUCAACGAUAUGAAUGUUAGUUUAUGAAAACAGUUGGAGUUAUUCUGGGAGGUAAAGCCACGUUUAGCAUUUUUUUACGGAUGCGUUCAUUUUCUUUUUGCGUAAUUGUGUCGAUUAAUGUACGUGGUUUUCAUAAUGUAAGUAUAUGCUUUUGGAUAUCACAGUACGUAUCGUAAGAUCGAGGUCACUGGCUGUCGUCGAUAGAUGAUCCAAUUGGCUGAUGGGGCUCAAUUAUGUCAUCAAAAAAUAAAUAAAUCUUGGUGCCGAAAACAUGGCGGUCAGACAGCAAUUUGGUGCCCAAAAAGAAAGCUAAGUCGGUUAUUUGGGCAUAUUUUAGGUUCUAUCCAAAUGCUGACGGUGAGCCUCAAGACCUAACAGCCUAUUUGCACAUUAUGUAAAUGAUGUGUUCCUGUGAAGGAUAGGCAAACCACACAUUUAUUGGCGCACAUUCGAGUCCAUCACCCCGCCGAGGCCGCAAAACUGCGUCCAACCAGCAGCGCUGCAGGUGCUUCUGGGGGGACAGCCCACAAUAUCAGCAGCUUUGACUAAAUCAACUAAAUACAAGCCAGGCAGCGAAAGAUGGACCAAGUGUACAACAGCUGUUGAAAGAUUUCUGGUGAAGGAGUGCGUCUCAUUUCAGACGGAAGAAAGAGAAAGUUUCAAAAAAAAAAUGUUGACUAGACUGGAGGCGUAGAAUGAACCGCCUGGGAGGAAAUAUUUCUUGGAGACAAAACUGUAUGAACAGCUGAGAGGGGAAAUAGUUCAUUAACUUCAUUGCUUUGACUACGGAUAUGUGGUCAAACAUUAACAUGUUAUAUGUCCAUAACUGCGCACUAUGUCUCAAAAGACUGGACAUUAAAAUCCAAAUGUCUCGUCACACCGCGGCGGUGCGACCUGAAGCACUCCAGGAUGGGUUGCCAUCAUGGGGAAGAGGAGAAGAGAAAGUCGUCUGCAUUACAAGCAACAACGGAGCCAACAUCGUUGCGGCUGUUCGUGAUCUGAAGUGGACAUGGAUCAGUUGUUUCGGGCAUAAUUUGAACUUAGCCGUCAACAAUGCCUUGAAUAAAGAAAAAAACAAAACGGACCGGGCUUUCGGAGUGUGUCGCCAAAUAAAUGGAGCUUUUUCACUCAGUUGGCAAAGAGCAACAGAGGAUAAAGAAACCGCUUUCUUUAAUAACUGUAAGUAUUAACAUUUAGCUGUUAUCCCACCAAGCGAUAAACUCAGUUUCAAUCAUAUGUUUUCUGUUAAAAAUGUACAAUUUCAUCACUAGUUUAGUGUUGCCACUGUAUUAUUACCAAUAAUAAUAUAACAUAGAUUGGAGGAUAGUUUUAUCUGUCUGUCAUUUAGAAAGUAUCAUUGGUUUUACUCAGCCUAUAACCGACCUUUGACCUUUAUAUUUUCUCUUAUAAAACAGGAUUGUGCAACGCGCUGGGGCAGCAAAUAUGCGAUGAUAGAGAGGAUCCUCACCCUGCUGCCUCACAUCAGAAGGGUUUUUGCUGAUGACAGGACUCGGCGUCACACUACCAACCAUUAGCAGGAGGCUGUCACAGAAGGACUGAGGUCUGUAUCUGAAUUUACAGACAUCUUGUCAAGUGACGUCACCAUCUCAUCGCUGCUGCCUCUGCUUCACUUGAUUAAAGAUACGUUCAAGGAAAAAGAGAGCGAUGCCAAACUGACUGCAGCCAUUAAACAAACGAUCCUGGAGCAACUUGACAGUAGAUAUGACAACGACAAGAUCAUCCAGUUAAUGCGCACAGCAUGACCCCUCCAUGACCCGCGGUACAAAGCUGCUGACCUGGACUACAUCAGAACCCAGCUGGAGGAUGAGAUGGUGCUGUUCUGGAAGCAGACUACUUCCGGACCACCUGGGACUCUACGGAUGACGAGGAUGCACCUCCUUUCUCCCAGUCCCAGCCAAGCAAAAAGAAGAAAACACUGGACAGUCUCCUUGGCUCAAUAAGACCUGCACCUGUUGCAACUCCUGAGCAACGAGCGCAGCGGAAAUGACGAAUUACCUCCAAGAAGAGGCAGUUGAUGGAGAAACCAACGCUCCUGAAUGGUGGAAAAGGAACGAAAGCCGCUUACCCUUAAUGAUAAAAAUUGCGCAGAAAUAUUUGCGCAUUCCUGCGACCAGCACGCCAUCGGAGCGCAAUUUCAGUAAAGCAGGGAACGUUGUAACCCGGUACCGCAGUCUGCUAAAACCAGAUAAAGUUAACAUGCUUGUUUUCUUGUCAAAUAAUUAGUAAAAGUAGGUCAUAUAUUUAUUUUUAUGUGUUUAUCAUACGCAGGCUGCAAUGUUCUAUUGUUUAAUGUUUUAAGCUUUAAGUUCGUUAUGAUUUCUUAUGAAAGGCAAACCUAAGUAGGCGUCAUAUUUGAAGUGAUUUUAUUUUGUGGUAACAUUCACAUUUUCUAAGAUAUUCUACCGUUUAACUCAGCUUUUUUAUUUGUACACAUUAUUUAUUAAAGCCUGUUUAUUUCACACUGUAACUCUGGAUUUGUAAUAAAGUGACUUGUUCAAAUGGAGGCCUGUCGUGGUUUAUUCGUUUUGUGACGUCAUAAUACAGCACUAUCGGCACCACUUGUGACGCACAGAGCAAGAAGAUGAGGAGCGGAGUGACGAAGAGGAGCCGUGUUGGCGCUUACUCCGAGAAAAGAGAAAGACGCAUUUUAUUCCCUCUAGAUCACGAUGAUGAUUAAAACAUUUUAAAUUACAGAGAAGCGCGCAUAUAAAAUUGAUUUUACAUCCCCAGCACGGCAUUAAAUGAAUUAAUAAAGAUCACCCUUUGAAAAAAUAAAUCAUGAUCCAACCCUUCAAUCGCCGAUAGACGAUCCAAUCGAUAAUCACGUCAUUCCUGUCACAGUAUAAAUGUAAUAUAUGUACAACUAUAUUACCAGACUGGUGUAGCGCGUAUUAUUUUACAGAACAUUAAAACUAUUAAACAUCUGAGGCCACAUGAGUUGAGAUAUUAUUUAGCUGAGAACCACAGAAAUAUUCUCACGGUCUGAUGCCAGUAAAGUGAAGCCUAAAUGUUUCCGUCUCUACAUCCAUGGUGAACAUACUGGGAAUACUGGUACAUAGUGGCUGCCUUUUAAUCAUCAUGUUGGUGAAGGUUUGGAGAAACGCAGAAGUUUGUCCAAGUGUCUGAGAUGAAGCCUGCCACAGGAUUGAGGACAUCUGGCAUCUAAUUACUGGCUGUGAGCAUGAAGGUAGAGUCUCUCCUGGUUUCUUUAUGCCUGCAUUUGGUUUCACCUCAGCAGGAAGGUCGCUUGUUUAACUUGCAGAGGCCAGAACUCUAACAUCAAGACUGCCUGAAGUCUCCUGCUUGGUACUGGACUGUGGUUGGAAAUUAUCCUCCCAGUUCAGCUUGGCAACAUAAAACGGAAAGUAUUGGCAAACGUAUUCGCCUGCUGUUGGGCCAGAAGGGUGGAGUCGUCCAGCUCUGACAUGAAGCUGCUGCAGCUGCUGGAGACCCUGCUGCUUUGUUGUUGUUGUUGUUGUUUACAUUUGUUUAUGGGUUACUCCAUGGUUCCAUGUGGCCUCUGACCUUGCAGCUUGUAGCAGCCUGGGCUUUUUAGAUGAUUUUUAAUGCUUGGAUAUGUCAGAGGUUAGAGGUUACCUCCAUUUAGCAUUUCAUGUCUAAAUUGUAGGGUCGUUCUCUUCUGUCAGUGUUUGCUUUGUUUAAUCCCAUCCUUUUGUCUCCAGGCUGAGAGCUGAAAGCGGUGGGGGGGGGGGGCAUCCAGUGGAACUGGACCGGUGUUGGGAUUUGUUCACCAUCGAGUGUUUGUUCACAAGUACUUAGGGUGAUUUAUUUGUUUUAUUUGUUUUAGGAACCAGUAGAUACGUAGAUUGCCCGCCCCCUGCUGGUAGGCCCCAGUCUGGUGUACUUCCCUUCCUAUUGUGGCUCUUGGAAUAUUAAUUGUCUUUUAACACAUGGAACAAUAAAAUGUGACUAUAUUUUGAGGAAUAAAGUCCUGUUCUCCUUGGCUACGAACAUUAAGUGCCUUAUUGGGGAUUUAUUUCCUUGGGCACAGUUUCCAAGGUGACGUUGUUGACGUCCGCUGGUUUCUCUGCUUUCAGGGGCAGAGUACCAGACUCGUACUCUAGUGUUGCCACAGACUGAAGAUGGUGAUGAUGACUUCAACACAUUUCUUCAGAAAGCUGCCAUCAGUUUUCAUGUAGUUCAGAAUAAAUGUGUCGACUACUUGCCAUAAUAGCUGUUGAAUUUAUGUGAUGUAUCUUAUGGGGUUGUGUUUUGUGAUGCCCUGUGAACAAAAAUUACAAAAGUAUUUUUACAAGUUGAUUUAAAAUGUUGAACAAAUUCAGGUAAUAUUUUUAUUGUAAUUUUUCCUUUACUCUAAAUAUAAUAUCAUUCAGACUGAUUGAGACUGAGCUACACCUGACAGGUGAAUCAGGGACAGAUGUCGAUGCAGAUGUUUGAGGAUCUUUUGCCAGCAGGAAACCUUACUGUGAUUGAGACAACGGAGGAGUCAACAGGUGAGGCUCAGGAAGGAGUAAAUCAUAAAUAAUAAGUAUUUGGAAGUAUUUUUUUUCCCACUUUGUGUAUUUAUUUUUUCAACUGUUUCCAGUUGUGCUUCAACAUGAUCCAUCAUCAACAUGUCAACUCAUCUGUGUCAGUUUCUGCAGACUCCUUGCCAGCUUCCUCUCUCUCAUCUGAUGCAGCAGUGAUUGUUCCCACAAACGGAGGAACGAGAGCCCAUGCUGAACAGGAAGCAGUAGAAGAAGAGUGCAGCUUUUAUAACAAAUGAUAUAAAAUAUUAUGCACAAAGAUCUGGUGCCGUUAAACUGGGGCUUGUUGGUAGAAUUGGAUGAUGAUGAUGAUGAAGGUUGAAAUAGUUUCUGACUUUAUGAUGUUUAAUCUUGUAGAUCAGGGGUGUCCAAACUUUUUUUAGUGAGGGCCAAAUAUAGAAAAAUUAACAAAGGGCCGACACACUAGAGGUGACAUAUUGACGCAUAUAUUUUGUGUGAAUUUCUUUUUUUAACUUUAAAUUACUGUAAAUACCGGAUUAUAAGCCGCUACUUUUUUCCCACACUUUGAACACUGCGGCCUAUAAAACGGUGCGGCUGAUGCGUGUUUUUAUUCACGCCGCCAAAAACAUGUUGCCUGGUAACAGUGUUGCACUGUACAACAGUACUGCAGAGUUGCGCGGAGUCUGUGUUAUCUGUGCUCUCAUCGCAGGCUAUCGAGUAAAAAUCAAAAGCACAAACGUCUCUCAGCUGGACUUUCAAGUUAGCUGACAAGUCCUCGAUUCUCCGCACCACUGUAUUCCUGGAUAAGCUCACAUUGUUGAAAUACGACACUUUUUCUGCGUACAUUAUUUCUGUGACUUUGAUGAGGCGCUGCUUUAUAAAAUCACCUCUGAAAACGGUUUUCCGUGCUGGGCAAUAACUUUAGCGACUUCAUAACUUGCUGUUGUGGCGUUUUCGUGUAUUUCUGUCGAGCUUGCAGGCUAGCUGCCAUUUGCUUGACUUUCUGUGUUCGUUCGGCACCGGUGUACGAUGUGUAGCUCUGAUGUUUGGUCUCAUAGUCUCAUUCUUCGACUCAUUUCUGUGGCUUGCUCCAUCUAGUGUUGAAACUGAGAAGUGCAACAGUGUUGACCUUAAGCUUCUUGUGCGGGCCAUAUUCAAUUAUAUUUUCAAAAUUCGCUGCGGGCCAAUAAACACUGGGUCACAGGCCGCAGUUGGCCCACGGGCCGUAGUUUGGACACCCCUGUUGUAGAUGGUGAGAGAUGCUCUCCAGGCUGAACCGAGUGGACAGGUUCGUUUGGAUGAAGAUGAUAAACUCACAACAUUGAUGGAUAGCACAAGAAGCCUUGUGACCGACAUGGUUGAAAUUCAUGGGUAGAACUUAAAUAUUCAUAUUUAUACUUUAAAAUGUAUUAAAAGAGCACAUUUAGGACAUUGCAUACAUGACAGGAACACUUCUAUGACCAACAGAGUGGAUCUGGCUACUUGGCCUGGAGAAUAAAAACUGUUCAGAGCAGCUCUGCAGCUCAGACCCGGAGAUCCUCCACCAGCACCGCCUAUCAGGAUAGUCCACAGAGAAGGAGGGAGGUUCCCUGCGCUGAUAAGCAGCUGCUUGGUGAGGAGUGUCAUGAAGAGAUAUCCUUCUUGAAACGUUCAACUGAUGAUCGGCCCUCAAAGAGAAGAUGAGGCCCCGUUUCAGUAUCAGCAAACACUGGUUCAAGAUCAGAGGUGCUCUUCAACAGUCUUGGAUGACUUCCCAUGAUUCCUCACUGUCACUGGAUUGGUUAGACGAGCAACUUCUUAUUAUUCAGUGAAUUAUCACUCAAAGUUUACACUUUUAAUCUGAAAUAGUAAAGACUUCACUAUGAUGUUUGGAGAGGAGGUGUCAGCAGAUUUAUGGUUAAAUGAUUGACUUUUUUCAAACCAAGGAUCCUGACAGAGUGCAGAAAACUGACUUCUAAUGAACACAUUGAAGACAUCUUGUCUGUGCAGCACGACACUGCUGGGACAGAGACCUGUCAAGCAUCCUACUGUUGGUUCACCUCCGUCCUCCAAAGACCACAAGAAGAGCGCCAGAAUCAGCUCAUGUCAGGCUGUCGGCCAUCUUGUGAGAUAUUUGCCGAUGGGAGCCAGUGUUGAAGGCUUCCUUGCUGGUGUGGAACCAGGACGGCGCUUCCUGAUCGUUGCUUAUUUUAAACGGACUUUUCCUGUUUAACAUCUAGAGCUAAAAAUGGAGACGACCUCCAGGUUCAUUGAUCAGAGGUAAAACCCACUGAUGGCUGAGCUGGGACCCAUCAGGUAGCUCUAUUUGUUAUAAAUAUACAAACACUGAAUUUAUUUGUCAGCAGUUCCUGCAAGAUGAAGACAUUGAAGCAAUGGACUGGCCCGCCCGUUCCCCAGACCUGAAUCUGAUUGAGAACAUCUGGAACAUCAUGUCUCGCUCCAUCCA